GCCCUCGUAGCUCAGUUGGAUAGAGCAGCGCUCUCCUAAAGCGCAGGUCGCUGGUUCGAAUCCAGUCGAGGGCA
rnacentral:tRNA from 1 species